rnacentral:rRNA from 1 species
CUGCUAGUAGGAGGACAUUACCUAGAGUUUGUAGACUUCGGUCUGCUACCUCUUACCCAUGUCUUUUGAGUACCUUCGUUUCCUCGGCGGGUCCGCCCGCCGAUUGGACAACAUUCAAACCCUUUGCAGUUGCAAUCAGCGUCUGAAAAAACAUAAUAGUUACAACUUUCAACAACGGAUCUCUUGGUUCUGGCAUCGAUGAAGAACGCAGCGAAAUGCGAUAAGUAGUGUGAAUUGCAGAAUUCAGUGAAUCAUCGAAUCUUUGAACGCACAUUGCGCCCCUUGGUAUUCCAUGGGGCAUGCCUGUUCGAGCGUCAUUUGUACCUUCAAGCUCUGCUUGGUGUUGGGUGUUUGUCUCGCCUCUGCGUGUAGACUCGCCUUAAAACAAUUGGCAGCCGGCGUAUUGAUUUCGGAGCGCAGUACAUCUCGCGCUUUGCACUCAUAACGACGACGUCCAAAAGUACAUUUUUACACUCUUGACCUCGGAUCAGGUAGGGAUACCCGCUGAACUUAAGCAUAUCAUAAGGCGGGAGGAAGAAG